GUUACGUAGCUCAGGCGGUAGAACAUGAGACUCUUAAUCUCGGUGUCAUGGGUUCGAGACCUACGUUGGGCA